GUCUCAUGAUGAAAAAGAAGGACGCAUAGCCUGAGUGUCCCAAUGUCAGAAGAAAGGGUAAGAGCAGGGGUUCUUCAUCUUGACUGUGCCACAGACCUUUCUGGGGACUAGUCUGGUGAAGCCUACAGACCCCUUCUCAGAAUGUUUUAUUUUGAAUUUACUUGUUUAUUAUAUUAAGAUCCCAGGUAACUCCCUUCCUUACUCCCUUCCCUCUUCUCAUCAGUGAAGGUAUCAUCUCAUAGUAUGUGUAAAUUAUACCUUGCUUAUUUCUUUUUAUCAGUUCUUUCUCUGGAGGCAGAUAUACUCAAGCCAUUCUUCAAAUAAUUAUUCUGUUGCUAUAAAUAAUGUUCUCUUGCUCCUACUCAUUUCAUGCUUCAUCAUUUCAUGUAGGUCUUUCCACAUUAAAAAACAUUAACCUGUUCACCAUUUCUUGUGGUAUAAUAAUAUUCUAUCCCAAUCAUAUGCCACAACUUGUUUAGCCAUUUUCCCAGUUGAUGGGCAUCCCUUCAAUUUCCAGUUCGUUACCACCACAAGAAAAGCUGCUGUAAAUAUUUUAGAUCAUAGAUGUUUUCUUCUUUUUCCCUUGAUCACCUUAGGAAAUAAAGCUAAUGGUGGGGUUGCUGGGCCAAAAGGUAUGCACAUUUUUGUAACUCUUUGGGCAUAAUUUCAAAUUGCAGAUUUAUUAAAUUUUUAUUUAAAUUUAAUCAAAAUAAAAUUUGGAAUUAAAUAUUGAAUUUAUUAAAUUCAACAUUAUUAAAAAUAAUUGAGGGAAAUGCUGAAUUUAAUUUAGAAAUUAUUCAGAAUGAAGACACCAUUUAAUUUCCCCAUUAAAUUUCACAAAUCCUCUGAAAUCUAUCCACAAAAGUCAAAAUGAGAACCUUUGGGUAGCGAGUGCCCCUAGAGCCACUACUGUAGGAUACAAUGAUUUUUGGAUAAAUAAGGCUUACAAAAAAAAAACAGUCAGAAACUUAAAUUCCCCCAAAGGAGGGUGAUGCAUGUAGAAGAAACUCAUUCACAUGGGCUUCAAGGAAAAAAGCUAAGAGAGGUCAGGUCUAGAAAAUGAAAUCAGGCCUGAACAAUUUGCAAAGUUGUAGAGAAUGUGCUCCAGAGAACUAUUUCUCCAUUCUCCUGUCAUCUGCUCGUUGCCAGUUGCCUCACAAUCACACCAUCAAGGAGUGGAGCCAGCACUGGGAGAGUAUCUGGGGGGCUGGAAGUCUCCGCAGCACAUUUGCAGGCCACGGCACUGGUGAGCAUCUUCUGAAAUCGGUUCAUUUCAAGUUCAUCCACGGACUAGUAGUUAACAGUAGUUUGAACUUUUAGCCUGUGAGAUAUCCUGCCCAUUUGUAAGCAAACAUGUGGUGGGGACAAACAGUUUUUAUACAACCCUUCAUUGUACCCUGAUAAGAUCUAGGGAAACGUUUUUGUGUUUUUUUUUUCCAUAGUUUAGAUUUCUUUAUUCAAAUAUCACACAGAAAAUUCCCCAUCUGGCUCUGCCAACAUUCUCUCCUCUCUGGGAAACAGCCUUCAUUAACAAUGCCAUUGGAAACUCGAUGGGAGAAAAUUUGCAACACAGAACUGGUAAAACAAUACACAGCUAUAGUGUUACAAUUCUGGAGAAGCAAGCAUUAGCCUGAGGGAUAUUUGAACUCGACCUGAGCAUUUUGUGUAACAACUCGACACUGCUGCUAAAUUGCAUUACCUGGUAAUGUCUUUGUACCUGUCAUGUGGUAAUAAUGCCUCCUCACUUUUCUCACAGUAGGAUAAUUACUGAUGGGAAGAGGUGAAAAAGUCUCCCAUGCCUGCUAUAGAAGUUUGAACUCUUAUCUGCAGCUUAGCCAUACAGGUUUCAGAUCCAGAAACUGAGUCGUAAUUCUACAGAGUCGAGAUUCUUGGGCUCUUGGGAUUCCAGUGAAUUCAGAAAGGAGGAAGGAAGAGUCGCACAGAUCUUAAAGCUUCUUUUACAGAUGAAGAAACUAAAGCAAAUGGAAUUAAGUGACUUGCCCAGGAUCACACCAUUAGUGUCUGAACCCUAGAUCUGAACCCAGGUUUGGUGCUCUAGCCAAUAUACUCCAUAGCUAUUCUAUUGGAAUCCUAUGCAUCCUUGAAAACAAUUCUGUUUUCAAUGCCUUUGAUGUUCUUCUCUCCUUGCUUCAAGACCCCUCUCAAGGAGGACCUCUUUCAGGAAGACAGUCAUCAGCCAUCUUUCCAUCAGAUGUGGCAUACACAGCCUUCUAUUGUGAUUCACUAUCAGUGAUUUGGCUCUUCAUCUAGACUGUAAAACUGAGUCCUUAUCUUAUACCUUGUUGUAUCCCCAAACCCCGCAGGGGUAGAAUGGGAUUAGCUCCAAUCAGCUCAUAGGUAUACAUUUUUCCCCCAGGAGAGCUGGUUAUUAAACAUUUACUAACACAUCCCUGCUUGCAUGCAAAGGCACUCAAUAAAUCUCUGCCAUCUGUAAUAAAGACAUUCUCUGC